GGGUCUGUAGCUCAGUUGGUUAGAGCACCGCAUCAUAAGCGGGGGUCACAAGUUCAAGUCUCGUCAUAGCCACCA
rnacentral:tRNA from 1 species